UUUAGAGGAAGUAAAAGUCGUAACAAGGUCUCCGUUGGUGAACCAGCGGAGGGAUCAUUACAGAGUACUAUACUCAUAACCCUUUGUGAACCUUUAUAACUUGUUGCUUCGGCGGCGCGAGCCCCUCUCGGGGAGCGUGCCCGCCGGUGUCAUCAGAAUCUCUGUUCGAACCCGACGAUACUUCUGAGUGUUCUAAGCGAACUGUUAAAACUUUCAACAACGGAUCUCUUGGCUCCAGCAUCGAUGAAGAACGCAGCGAAACGCGAUAUGUAAUGUGAAUUGCAGAAUUCAGUGAAUCAUCGAAUCUUUGAACGCACAUGGCGCCUUCCGGUAUCCUGGGAGGCAUGCCUGUCCGAGCGUCGUUUCAACCCUCGAGCCCUCGUGGCCCGGCGUUGGGGAUCUGCCCAGGCAGGCCCCGAAAACCAGUGGCGGACCCGUCCGGGCCCUCUCCUUGCGUAGUAGCAUCAGCCUCGCAUCGGGAGCCGGCGGCUUUCGGCCUCUAAACCCCCCACAAGUCCGCUCCGGCGGCAUCAAGGUUGACCUCGGAUCAGGUAGGAAUACCCGCUGAACUUAAGCAUAUCAAUAAG
rnacentral:rRNA from 1 species